AGGACGAACGCUGGCGGCGUGCUUAACACAUGCAAGUCGAACGGUAAGGCCCCUUUCGGGGGUACACGAGUGGCGAACGGGUGAGUAACACGUGAGCAACCUGCCCUUGACUUCGGAAUACCAGCUGGAAACAGCUGCUAAUACCAGAUAUGACUCCGACCGUCCUCGGUCGGGGUGGAAAGCUCCGGCGGUCAGGGAUGGGCUCGCGGCCUAUCAGCUUGUUGGUGAGGUAAUGGCUCACCAAGGCUUCGACGGGUA
rnacentral:rRNA from 1 species